GACUUCAGCGCUCGUGGUUCUAUUCAAGCAGUCAUAUGGUUGAAAUGUCUUUGGGAUGUAGUCCUCUAAGGGAGAGCCAUUUUUAGAAGAGAUUGAUUUGUUAUUUUUUUUUUUUUAAUUUGGAAAUCCUUCAGUGGAAGAAUGGUGAGAAAAUACAAGCUAUUUCCAGAAGCAUCCCUGGUCCAGUUGCCUCCAAAAGAUUUUUGUCAUCAAUCCAAGUUUGUGCUGUUACCAUGUCCUCCUCAUAGGAUAGCACCAUUGUGGGAUCGAGGUCACCCAUCCAGGGCUCAGCAGGGAUCAUUCAAACAGCAGGCCCCAGCCACCAGAUCAUCACCCCUACCUUACCGGAGAGCUGCAUCUGCACAGUUACCCUGCCCCCGUGAAUACCAGUACCACCUCCACCACCAUCUUUGCCACAGAUCAACAGCAAUACCAUUAUCUGAUUUAAAGAAUUACAAACCAUCUUCAUGCCCUACACAAAAUUCUAGUACCUCAGUGUCACAUUUACCUUGCUCUUAUUUCAAGGCAAGGUCAGAUGCCAUAGCUGCUAAAUCUUCUGAUUCUGAAACUCUUCUGGACCCUGAUCACAAUCCUGAGGAUUCACUGAACCCUUGUUUUUGGGCACAGACUCCUUCAGUCAUUGACUACAUUCCCAAGAUUUUAAAGAGCCAUGGCCAUUCAGGGCUACCAUACUUCAGCCAUCAGCUUCCACCUUCAUUUCUGUCUCUCCCCUUCCACCUAUGUCCAUCACCAUCAUCUAUGUCUUCACCACCUAAGUCUUCUCCACCACUACAACCAUCAUCCCCCCCAAAGCAGCCUCAGUCUCAGCUUCAGUCCCAACCUCAGUCUCCACCUUUAUGUUAUCAUUUACCUUUGCCUCAACCUGUACCUCCAAAGCCAUCUUUCACUGAUCGGAGGGUCAAGAAACAGGCAAAACUUCCUGCUCAUGUAGAACGUAGGGCCAAGACAGCAUCUUUAAUAACUUCAUUGCACCCAAUUUGUCCCCAAAGUGCCUCAGUUGUGCGAGGAAGCCACCCUAAAGCCCCACCAGCUCAAGGGCAUCAAAUGAAGACUUCUGCCCUUGUAGGAUGUCUCCACCUACAACGUAAAGGCAGGAUUUUGUCACCUUCACCUGAACAUCAUUCUAGGCUCACAGCUUUGAAAACAACCAACUUGUCCAAGAACAAAACUUCCAAGGCAUAACAUCCUGACCCUUUUCCUGAGGAUACAACUACAAUGUUAGGAUUCUUAGACCAUACUUAUGGGCUUCAAAAUCAGACACAAGUGACAAAGAUGCAUAGAAGAGCAAUCCCUUCAUGCUUCAUCACUGCAUCUUCGUUACUUCACAAAUACUAUACCAGGGUCACAAAUGUAUGUGCACCAUACUCCAUCUACUGUGUUCUAGAUAGGCACAGGUCAUCUAAUCAUCUUACCAUCAGGGUAGAGCAGCAGCUAUACCACCACCAGUUUGAACCAUGGAACCUUUUAAUUAUUAGUAUCUAUCUAUGCCUGGAAUAUAGGGCCAAGGUUAACUUGACACUUUUCAUAGUUUCAUUUCGUAAUGGUUAAGGCUCCACUAUGCCCUGAUUAUAAUGCCAACUAUAAAACUGAGCCAUAACAAUACCCUGAUCACCAAGUUGUACCUCAACUAGUUCUGACCAUUGAACUGAAAUUUUCAUGGAGUUCAACCACCAAACCCUAAUAACAUCAAUAUACUCGGGCAUUUGGCUUGAAGCAAUUGCCGUCUCAAAAGCCCAAGCCAUAACAUUAACUCGAGUCUAAAUAGGGUUUUGAGCAAUGCAAGGCUUUGCUGAGUCUAGAUAAUGGGGGAAGGGACCUGUUACUUUGAUAUUACCCUAUUUAUUAAUUUUAUCAACACAACUCAUUUGGACAUAGGCCAAAAAACUGAGCUUGCUCUGGACACUAAAAAAUGAGGCCAUAUAAAAAAUGGGGCUGGGAAGUUGGGCAAAGAAUUCCUUUUGUUUUGGUGACUAGAACUGUUCUUUCACUGAGUCCCCCACAUUAGAUUCAGACUGGUUGGGACAGUGACUCAGGCCAUAUCUCUAUGAGGCUUGGAUGGACUGGAGAGGCUUUAUAGAGUCCCAAUUGCCAGAGUACAGUGAUACAGUGCCAGGACUGCCAUGCCACACCUUUACUAGGUCCUAAACAUUUGGACAAAUUGCCACGAGAAUUAGGCCAGCAAGCUGAGAGUAUUCAGGAUUCUGUCUUCUGGAUGUUGUCUUCACUAGAUUCUGAGCAUCAAGUUAAAGAGUCCUUUGAACUACCAAUUCUCAGAAUGCAGAUUCACUGGACCGGGAUUACUGGAACAAGGCUGCAUAGGGUCAUUCAGGCCACAAAGCUCUGCCCUUCCCAGGCCAAGAUUUAAAUAAAGACCAUACCUAACACCAAGUGUUCUGCACAGCCGACAGAUAUUUCUCCAGGCUUAGAUGUACUCUAGUUCACAUUUCCUGAAUCACCAAGAUAUUUAAUAGGUCUUGAGUAUGAGGGUGGGUUGUUUUGAUCGACAUCAAUAGGAAAUACCUUUUGUGGUCCUAAACUAUUUAGUGCAUUAUUAUUAUUAUUAUUAUUUUAUUAUUUUUGCUGAGGCAAUUGAGGUUAAGUGACUUGCCCAGGGUCACACAGCUAGGAAGUAUUAAGUAUCUGAGAUCAGAUUUGAACCCAGGUUGUCCUGACUUCAGGGCUGGUGCUCUAUCUACUGUACCACCUAGCUGCUCCUAGUGCAUGAUUUUAAGGUUUCUACACUGGGGGAAAUUGCCACCAAACCCAAGAUUUCUUGAUCACACCUCUGUUCAACCCAGAUACUAGAAUAUCUUAAUCCUGCCUUGAUAAGUGUUUUAAUGCCUAGGCCACACUUCUAACAUGCCUAUGUGCCUGGGAAGCAAUGCUACCAGUUCUACAUGAUACCAGAAAUUCAACUCUAUUCCCUGACACCCUAUCUCUUCAAAUUCUUGUCCCCUUAUGUCACAUCCAAACAACCCAUUGAAGAGACCCAACUCCUAAGUGUGAAUCAUCAAGUGACACUUCAGGUCUACCAUGCUGCUUCUCAUUUCACACAUUCACCUAGUCUUGAUCACCAGACUAUGGAUAUUUUGGAAUCCUAUUGUAUGGAUUACAUUUUAACCAUUUCUAAACCACUAAGAUAUAUAAUAACCCUCUGACUUAGACCCACAAGCUCCCAAAAUCACUGGAUAGUGCUACUUUGGGUUAUAGAUCAUCGGUUACAUGACUUUACCCAGUCCCAAGAUGCUAUAUUAGUUUUUAGUGUUCAGACCACACUUCUAACCUG
ensembl:lncRNA